UACGUAGGGUCCGAGCGUUGUCCGGAAUUACUGGGCGUAAAGAGCUCGUAGGUGGUUUGUCGCGUUGUUCGUGAAAACUCACAGCUCAACUGUGGGCGUGCGGGCGAUACGGGCAGACUUGAGUACUGCAGGGGAGACUGGAAUUCCUGGUGUAGCGGUGGAAUGCGCAGAUAUCAGGAGGAACACCGGUGGCGAAAGGCGG
rnacentral:rRNA from 1 species